rnacentral:lncRNA from 1 species
CCUGUGUUUAAUUUGUUUGUAGUUGACUGCAAGGCCUCUGAGGCACGGGAAUUCACAGCUGAGUUCUUGGAGAAGGUCCUUGAGCCAUCUGGAUGGCGGACAGUCUGGCACAUGAUGUGCUCAAGGUGCUGCUUGAGGCCACAGAUGUGGACAUUUCAGCCUUGAAGGCAGUGGUGCAGCUUGCUGAGCCAUACCUCUGUGAAUCUUGAGCGAGUACUUUCACCUUGGAGUGUGUGAAAGAGCUCCUCGAGCUGAAGGAACAUCAGUUGCCCCUGAAGGAGCUGGGUGGUGUUUGAUGAUUCUGGAGACAGCACUUGUAACUUGUAACUGAGCAUGUCAGCUAGGAAGGAGGUAUCUGGUCAGAGAAGGUGUUUUCUGAGGCUGCUUCCUGGAUCCCUAGGGUUUGUGUUCCUGCCAUUCAGCCUAUUUGGCAGUUAUUUCCACCUGUACAAACAGACCCUUUGUCCCUUACAUGAGAAAGAAAGCCCACACCUGGAUUCAUAUUAAUAGGAUAUGGUCUACCAAUUAAUAUUGUGAUAGAAAAGAGGGAAAAAGGUGACACUUCUGUGGACUGCAUGAAUGAGGAUAUUAACAUCUCAGGCAUAAGAUUUGUUCAGCAUGGUGUUAUAAAAGAAAUCUUAAAUGUC